rnacentral:rRNA from 1 species
CCCUUAGAUGUCCUGGGCUGCACGCGCGCUACACUGAUGUGUCCAGUAAGCACCUAACCUAUUCCGAGAGGAGCGGGUAACCUUAGCAAAGCACAUCGUGAUGGGGAUAGAUUAUUGCAAUUAUUAGUCUUGAACGAGGAAUUCCUAGUAAGCACAAGUCAUCAGCUUGUGUUUAUUACGUCCCUGCCCUUUGUACACACCGCCCGUCGCUCCUACCGAUUGAAUGUUCCGGUGAGCUCUUCGGACUGCGCGGUCUGCAGUUUCUGCGUUCCGUGCGGAAAGUUGUGCAAACCUUAACAUUUAGAGGAAGGAGAAGUCGUAACA